rnacentral:lncRNA from 1 species
CUUGAACACAGAGACUCACCUGCCUCUGGCAUGUCAACUGGUCUUGUUGAGAUUUCAUGGGUACAGCCACCCUGUCAUACCUAGAACACAAUGUCGAGCAAUAGGUAACCUGCUCCUCUUGCUCUUACAAUCUGUUUGUCACCUCUUCUGCAAUUUUCAGUAAGCCCUAGGUAUAUAGGUUGUGUGGCAGAUCUGUCUAUCACCUAGGGUUGAAUUUUUACAGAAUAAGAGGGGGUUUGUUUGUUGGUAUGGAAAUUUUUAUAUAUUUUUUGCAUUUAUUUGUUGAGUGGUUGUUGUUUUUGUUGUCAUUGUUAGGCAAAUAGUUGUCAGUAGAUACCAAGUCCAGACUUGCCUGUAAUUCAGUUUGUAGCCAAGGCUAGUUUCAAGAUCACUCUCCUCCUGCUGCAGUCCAAGAUGGUGGGUGUGUAUAAUCGCACCCAGAUCUAGGCUGACUUUUGAACCCGUAUAGCUAGGCCUACCCUGGUUUGGGCCUAUAAAUUUUACUAGAACAUUUGUUUGUUUCAUAUAUUCUAAACAGAGUAAUUGUCCAUAUGCCUAAUAGGGAUGAAUUUUAGCAAUCAGCUGAUACUGUGUCUGUCUGUCUGUCUGUCUGUCUGUCUCUCUCUCUCUCUCUCUCUCUCUCUCUCUCUCUGUGUGUGUGGUGUAUGUGUGUGUGGUGUGUGUGUGUGUGUUUGUGUGUGUGUGUGUGAUAUUCUUUUUCAUAAAACAUUAAUUGUAGUACAUUUUACAUCAGUGUAAGAGGAGAAAGGACAACAUAAAUGAAACAUUAAGAAGCAUGUCAAUCAUAUUGCCAUCAACAAGCCAAUUAUGGCAUUUGUCAUUUUGAAAUCCUCUUAUAAUGUGUCUACUAUAGUAUAAACUAUGAUACCUGAGGAGAGCCCAAAACACAGAAAUGCACUGUGUGUGUAGCCC